rnacentral:tRNA from 1 species
AGAGGAUGAGGCUAUAUAUCGCGUUUAACUGUUAAUUAAUGAUAGCAGUCUUUCCACUGCCAUCCUUUA